UUUAAUGUUUAUAAGAAAUUAAAAAGCAUAUUUAAGGCUUAAAGAAGUUGGAGGAAAGAAAAGAGAAUAGUAACUGAUAAAAAUAUCCGCACCCGUAGGUACCUGAUCCACUUCUAUCCGAUUGAAACGGGUUUAAACCCGACCCAGAGCGGAAUCAGACCGGAGCGGGUUGUUGAGCGGGGCAGGUAGGAGCUCUUCUUUCUGGGAUACUACAAGAACUUCUAUUAGAAUAGAACUGAGAUUACAAAAGAGGAUAAGCCAUCUUCACAUCCUCAUAUACAUACAAAAGGUAUAUUUAAGACGUGAAAAUCUCAGCUAAAUAACAACACAUGCUAAUCCUUUUAAAUAUUAGCUAAAGGAGAUUAUACUAAGGUACAAUGUGGCAAUAGCUUAGUUAAAUACAACCAUUGGAUAAAAAGCACAAUACCUGAGCUACAAGCAUCUGGCUGCUCCGAAACAUAAGAUUCAUACAAUGUCAAAUAACUUGAAAUUAAAAAAAGAUUAAUGUUUAAUCACUACAAAUUUAACAGCACAAUAAAGAAAUUGCAUCAAAGGAGUCUUCAAUCAUUAUUCUUGUUCUUCCACCAUUUAACAAACCUACAUUGAAAACACAGCAUAUAAACUAGUUAAGUUAAGCAUUAUGAUUAGUAAACACAAAGUUUUACCAAAUAACUUGGCACCAUUUUUGAAAAAAAGGUGAAAUAAUUUUUCAGAAGUAAAGCAAUACCAUUGAGAAGAAAGCAACACCAAAUUGAAAUUCCAAAGUAAAGGUAAACAAAAAUAGAAGCAGCCAACACUUAUUUCAGAAUUGAACAAUUUGCAUAGGUAUAGUUUCCAUGGCCAACCAAUAAAAUAACUCUAAUGAUGAUGCAAUUAAAAGUUACUGUAUAGCUAUGCAGAAAUAUUUACUCUAACUCUAACUCUGUAAAAUAAUAAAUAAAAAAAUCAAUCUUAGUAAUGCCUCAUGCUAAGAAUAUAUAAAAAAUGAAUCCUAUUAACCAAUCUCACCACCCUUUACCUAUUAACCACAACCAAUCAAGUGUUACCCCAGCAAAAAUUUCUCAAUUAUAUCGAAAGACCAAGUGCAAACUCUCCAAGACUGUUCCAAGUUCCUAGUCAAUCUUUUUAAAAGUAAAGCCAAAAACAAAUUAGGGUGGUUGUUCAUUCUUGUUUAACUAAUUUGCUAGUUAGUUGUUAAGGGAAUGUAGUCUAAACUAAAAUUAGAGUUGGUCCACGGCAGCCGGUAACUUCAGCCAUUCAUCAAAGGAGGGACUUAUCUUCGUCAAUAUAAAUCUUUGGGGGCCGACAUGUGAGUUUGAGCGAAACCACUGUAAGGCAACUUGGAAGCGAGUCAUUCAUCACAUCAUCAAUUCAUUAUCAUUCAUUCAUGGUGCUACUAUAUCUACGUGUAUGCACAGCAAAAUUAUUUUUGCAAGAUAACAAAUAAUAUUAAUUUAAUAUUAAUAAAAAUGGGGCACACCACCCUUUUGUUAGGAGUGUGGUUUCAAGUAACAUUUCUUAAGAAAUUGAAAAAAAGGGUUUAGCACCAAUGCAUCAUAUAUUUUGCCUUAUCCAUUUAUAACUGAAAAGCAGCAUAAUCCAAAAUUGCAGGUUGCAUUCAAAUAAAAAGAAAAACGUUGCAGACAAAAUGAAUGUUUUGCUUGUUUGAAUAAACAAUAUUAUGAGUCUAGUUUAACAAAAUCAAAGCAUCAACAACACAAAAUCAAAAAUCAGAAUGCACACAAUCAAAAUAGCAACAACACAAAAUCAUAAAUCAAAGCAUCAACAAGUAACAUCACAAAAUCAACCAUCAACAAUACAAAAUCAGAUUAUCAGCCAUCAACAGCAAUCAUAAGUAAUAUUAUGAAUUUAGUUUAACUAUUUUAACAUAAAAAAUAAAUCAUACAAAAUUAACUUAAAAUAAAA
rnacentral:lncRNA from 1 species